UUCCGGUUGAUCCCGCCGGACCUGACUGCUAUCGGAUUGAUACUAAGCCAUGCGAGUCAUUGUAGUAAUGCAAGGCAAACGGCUCAGUAACGCGUAGUCAACCUAACCUAUGGACGGGAAUAACCCCGGGAAACUGAAAAUAAUGCCCGAUAGAACACUAUGCCUGGAAUGGUUUGUGUUCCAAAUGAUUUAUCGCCGUAGGAUGGGACUGCGGCCUAUCAGUUUGUUGGUGAGGUAAUGGCCCACCAAGACUAUUACAGGUACGGGCUCUGAGAGGAGUGGCCCGGAGAUGGGUACUGAGGCACGGACCCAGGCCCUAUGGGGCGCAGCAGGCGAGAAAACUUUGCAAUGUGCGAAAGCACGACAAGGUUAAUCCGAGUGGUUUCUGCUAAAGGAACCUUUUGUCGGUCCUAGAAACACCGAUGAAUAAGGGGUGGGCAAGUUCUGGUGUCAGCCGCCGCGGUAAAACCAGCACCUCAAGUGGUCAGGAUGAUUAUUGGGCCUAAAGCAUCCGUAGCCGGCU
rnacentral:rRNA from 1 species